GACGAACGCUGGCGGCGUGCUUAACACAUGCAAGUCGAACGGAAAGGCCCUGCUUUUGUGGGGUGCUCGAGUGGCGAACGGGUGAGUAACACGUGAGUAACCUGCCCUUGACUUUGGGAUAACUUCAGGAAACUGGGGCUAAUACCGGAUAGGAGCUCCUGCUGCAUGGUGGGGGUUGGAAAGUUUCGGCGGUUGGGGAUGGACUCGCGGCUUAUCAGCUUGUUGGUGGGGUAGUGGCUUACCAAGGCUUUGACGGGUAGCCGGCCUGAGAGGGUGACCGGCCACAUUGGGACUGAGAUACGGACCAGACUCCUACGGGAGGCAGCAGUGGGGAAUAUUGCACAAUGGGCGGAAGCCUGAGGCAGAAACGCCGCGUGCGGGAUGACGGCCUUCGGGUUGUAAACCGCUUUCGCCUGUGACGAAGCGUGAGUGACGGUAAUGGGUAAAGAAGCACCGGCUAACUACGUG
rnacentral:rRNA from 1 species